AAAGAGAAUAAUUGGAUCAUGUAUAUCAUUAAAAGAUACUAGAAAUAUAAAAUUACCUUUAAAUAAUAAAAAGUAAUAUUUUCAACUGCAGAGAUAUUUUUUUUAUUAUCAUAGUUAUUUAUUUUUCAUCAAAAUAGACUUCACAAAAUAAUAUAAAAAGGAACGGCGCAUAGAAUUCGGAACGAUUGAACGAAUGAUUUAAAUAUUUGUUGCUUAUAAUCUGUGGAUAUUAUUUGAACCAUAGACAAAUCGAAGUACUAAACAGUCUUCUCUUAGUCUACGUUUUGUAAUAAGGAUGUAAAGACUAUCGUAAGUACCGUAACAAACCAAGACGUCUUCAGUCGGGUUUAAACCACUACUUGCGGCAGUUUUUAUAAUAAGAGGGAUCCCCUCUUAUUAUAAAACGCGGUAUCAAAUAAGUAUCGGCUUUUGUACUACCUUUAAUCCACCUUUAAGUACGACCUUGAAAAAACGUUAUUACAAAACGCAGUUUAUCGCAAGUCCUAUUACUAUCUGUAGUACAAAAGAUAAACCAUCGAGCCCCCUAGUUUAACUGCAGUACUUAGUCGACAAACGUCAAAUUCCGACAUUAUUUACUUUUGAGGUUAUUUGUUUUGUGAUGAAAAAAACGAAAGUGGAUAUAAAUAUGUGUGAUUUGGAAUACUUGGAUGUGUUAGAGUGCCUAUUGAGAGUGCCCGGGGACCCAACAGAAUGCGUCAUCGACAAAAUCUCUUCAAAUUACCUGACGACAAUUUUCGAUAUCAAUAUCGAUUUACGUUUUUCGAAAUAAUAGUCAAUUGAAUGCAUGAUGAUAAUCCAGGAUGAUCCUAUGAUGCUCAACUGGGCUCGCCAUAAAAUUCAAGACUAUUUUGGCGUUUUGCACGCCGUAUCUCUGCCAGUAAUAUGCAAUGUUUGUAAAAGACUGGAAGCUUGCUAAAAUGUACAAAAAUGCCUAGAUGAGAAAGGGAACAAGAUUGUGUGAUGAAGAACAGUGUCCAACAUGUAUCAGUGCAUUUGACUGUAUAAAUAGACAUCGGAAUAAAAUAUAAUUUUCUACUUU